rnacentral:rRNA from 1 species
UACAGAGGGACCUAGCGUUUUUCGGAUUUAUUGGGCGUAAAGAGCGCGUAGGCGGUUUGUUAAGUUGAUAGUAAAAUUCUUGAGCUCAACUCAAGUAUGUAUAUCAAAACUAACAAACUAGAGUUCGGUAGAGGAUGAUGGAAUUCUUGGUGUAGGGGUGAAAUCCUUAGAUAUCAGGAGGAACACCAGUGGCGAAAGCGAUCAUCUGGGCCGUAACUGACGUUCAUGCGCGAAAGCGUGGGUAGCAAACAGA